UAAGUGAAGAAACUGAGAUGCAGAAAGGUGAAGUGAUCUGGCCAACAUCAGACAGUUGAGGCCUCUAUCUGAGCAAUGACCAGGCCUAAUCUGUCAAAGUUGAUGGUUACUGACAGGAUUAUUUCCUAUGCUGAUAUUGCCUCAGGUGCACCUCAACACAAAGCAAAGAUUGAGAAAUUGAAAAUUCCUGCACAAGACCUGUCAAGCAUAUCCAAAAUAGUUCUGCAUCGUAUGGGUUUUAGGGGGCAUUGUAUGGAUUUUAGUUCCUAGGGCACUGUCCUCUUAAAACCUCUACCAUGCAGGAAGUUUGGAUUUCUUCAUGCUGUCCAUUUAAUGAUUAUAAGCUUGUAGGCUAAGGAUGCCUAUAUCUAGGAAGCAUAUAAAUAAUGAUAUUUGCCAAUUAAACUGAAAGAUUUCCAAACAAAAAGGCA